rnacentral:rRNA from 1 species
GAUGAACGCUGGCGGCGUGCUUAACACAUGCAAGUCGAACGGAAAGGCCCAAGCUUGCUUGGGUACUCGAGUGGCGAACGGGUGAGUAACACGUGGGUGAUCUGCCCUGCACUUCGGGAUAAGCCUGGGAAACUGGGUCUAAUACCGGAUAGGACGAUGGUUUGGAUGCCAUUGUGGAAAGUUUUUUCGGUGUGGGAUGAGCUCGCGGCCUAUCAGCUUGUUGGUGGGGUAAUGGCCUACCAAGGCGUCGACGGGUAGCCGGCCUGAGAGGGUGUACGGCCACAUUGGGACUGAGAUACGGCCCAGACUCCUACGGGAGGCAGCAGUGGGGAAUAUUGCACAAUGGGCGCAAGCCUGAUGCGGCGACGCCGCGUGGGGGAUGACGGCCUUCGGGUUGUAAACUCCUUUCGCUAGGGACGAAGCGUUUUGUGACGGUACCUGGAGAAGAAGCACCGGCUAACUACGUG